rnacentral:tmRNA from 1 species
GGGGCCGACAGGUUUUGACAGCGAGGAGGAUGGAUAUGUAAGCAUGCCGUGAGUUGGGAAAGUAUCACGUAAAUUACAAUUCUCAAAUUCCAAAUGGCGAGUCUAACUACGCUAUGGCUGCUUAAUUGACCUAGUCAAUUUCGCACCUGCUUCCCGGGCAGCUUUUUCUUUUCAGCGUCCCGGAUCAAGCAUCACAAAUGAAAAGAUAGUGAAAGUGAGCUGUGUCCUUUCGCGAAUCUGCCCCGGUGCAAAUCGGGGACUAAGCAGCUAAGUUUGAAGUUGGUUGUUGCCUUACCUGCUUCAUUCCGAAAAUUAAAUGGCAGCUAAGCGUGUAGAAAGCAUUUUUGUCCCUUGUUUGGACAGCGGUUCGAGUCCGCUCGGCUCCACUU